rnacentral:rRNA from 1 species
GAUGAACGCUAGCGGCAGGCCUAAUACAUGCAAGUCGAACGGUGUCUUCGGACAUAGUGGCGCACGGGUGCGUAACACGUAUGCAACCUACCUUACAUUGGGGGAUAGCCUUUCGAAAGGGAGAUUAAUACCGCAUAAGACAGUAGCUGGGCAUCCAGCAGCUGUUAAAGAUUUAUCGAUGUAAGCUGGGCAUGCGUCCAAUUAGCUAGUUGGUGAGGUAACGGCUCACCAAGGCAAUGAUUGGUAGGGGAACUGAGAGGUCAAUCCCCCACACAGGCACUGAGAUACGGGCCAGACUCGUACGGGGGGCAGCAGUAGGGAAUAUUGCGCAAUGGACGAAAGUCUGACCCAGCCAUGCCGCGUGCAGGAUGAAGGCGUUAUGCGUUGUAAACUGCUUUUAUACAGGAAGAAACGACUCUUGCGAGAGGCAUUGACGGUACUGUAUGAAUAAGCACCGGCUAACUCCGUGCCAGCCGCCGCAGUAACAC